rfam:Rattus norvegicus chromosome 18, whole genome shotgun sequence.
GGGGAUUUAGCUCAGUGGUAGAGCGCUUACCUAGGAAGCACAAGACCCUGGGUUCGGUCCCCAGCUCCA